CUUCUCCCCUGAUGACUUGCACUGGGCUCUGAUUCUGUAUGGAGACACAUGUGCAUCUCUAGCCUUGACAAGCUGGAGUUUCUGAGGAGAAA